rnacentral:rRNA from 1 species
AUUGAACGCUGGCGGCAGGCCUAACCCAUGCAAGUCGAACGAGUGGCGGACGGGUGAGUAAUGUCUGGGAAACUGCCUGAUGGAGGGGGAUAACUCCUGGAAACGGUAGCUUAUACCGCAUACCUUCGGAUGUGCACAGAUGGGAUUAGCUAGUAGGUGGGGUAAAGGCGCACCUAGGCGACGAUCCCUAGCUGGUCUGAGAUGAUGACCAGUCACGCUGGAAUGGGGACACUGUGGAGACUCCGACGGGCGGCAGCAGGGGGGAAUGUUGCACAAUGGGCGCAAGCCCGAUGCAGCCAUGCCGCGUGUAUGAAGAAGGCCUAUGGGUUUUAAAGUAGUUGCAGCGGGAAUGCGUUACCCGCAGAAGAAGCACCGGCUAACUCCGUGCCAGCAGCCGCGGUAAUUC